GGACAAUCUGGUUUCCUACAGAGCAUCCAGCACUGAUACAUGUCCUCCUUCUCUGGAUCACACUGUCUACCAGGUGCCCAAUGAACUCCACCAACUCUUCUAUGCAGAACAUAGGGGCUUAAGAAGUGACAAAGAAGAAAUGUAGAGGUUUCUGAAAUGAACACCUUUCAUAAAUGAGGACUAUAAUGACAAUAUAUUCAACUUAGAACAGGGCUUAGAAACACAAAGCCCAACAGAAUGUUAGUAAAUUGGAUG
rnacentral:lncRNA from 1 species